rnacentral:rRNA from 1 species
UACAGGGGGUGCAAACGUUGCUCGGAAUCAUUGGGCGUAAAGCGCACGUAGGCGGUCUGUUAUGUCGGAUGUGAAAGCCCUUGGCUUAACUGAGGAAGUGCAUCCGAAACUGGCAGGCUAGAGUACUAAAGAGGGUCGCGGAAUUCCCGGUGUAGAGGUGAAAUUCGUAGAUAUCGGGAGGACACCGGUGGCGAAGGCGGCGA